CCUGCUCACUGUUUUAUAAAUAGCCGCUUUUUAAGUGCUAAGGUAGCAUAAUCACUUGUCUUUUAAUUAAAGAAUAGAAUGAAUGGGAAAACGAGUAUAGAAUUUUAUUUAAAUUUUUUUAUAAAAUUUAUUUAAAAGUAAAAAAGCUUUUAUUAAUAGAAAAGACGACAAGACCCUUUAGAACUUUACUAAAAGUUUAACUGGGGUGGUUAACUAAAAUACCUAGAAACAUUUAAAUAAACAUCCUUAUUUGAUUAAACAGUUACCUAAGGGAUAACAGCAUAAUUUAAUUUUAAAGCUCUUAUAAAAAAUUAAGAUUAUGACCUCGAUGUUGAAUUAUAUAUCUAAUAAUAGAAAAUUAUUAUUUAGUAAGUCUGUUCGACUUUUAAAAAUAUACAU
rnacentral:rRNA from 1 species